AACGAACGCUGGCGGCAGGCCUAACACAUGCAAGUCGAACGCGUGUCGCAAGACACGAGUGGCGCACGGGUGAGUAAUACGUCGGAACCAACCCAGAGGUUCGGAAUAACCGCGGGAAACUGCGGCUAAUACCGGAUGUGUCCUAAGGGAGAAAGAUUUAUCGCCUUUGGACGGGCCGACGCCCGAUUAGCUAGUUGGUGAGGUAAUGGCUCACCAAGGCUACGAUCGGUAGCUGGUCUGAGAGGAUGAUCAGCCACACUGGAACUGAGACACGGCCCAGACUCCUACGGGAGGCAGCAGUGGGGAAUAUUGGACAAUGGGCGAAAGCCUGAUCCAGCAAUGCCGCGUGUGU
rnacentral:rRNA from 1 species